UAUUUAUUUCACGUGCUCUCUCACCGGUCAGAGUGACGAGAGAGUGUGCGAAAUGAAGAGA
rnacentral:pre_miRNA from 1 species